AAUUGCGGAGAGGGGGGAAGGCCUCUGCGGGUGUGGCUUCUAGAUAGCCAGCUUCUGGCUCCUUAAACUCUACUCACGCGUGUACAAAGUCUAUACACUCAGUAACUUCAAAACUCUCGCCUGUAAUGUUUAGCGCCUCGGAAGCGGCAGGACUUUUCCUAAGGAAACGGCAACCCUCCCCGCGCCUGGACGCGGAGGCAGAGCAGUGGUAGAAGCUGAGUUUGACGUCACCGGUGGUGGGAGGAGCCCGGCGAAGCUGAGCGCGACUUCCGGAAGAGGGGAGCGCCCAGUUGCCGGUAAGGAAGGGAGAUACAGCACGUGACUCUUGACGCACGAAGGCCGGCGGGGCGGGAAGCGCGGUUGGUUCCUGCGCUAGGCGGCUCGUCCCAGCUCCUGGCGGCGACUGAGCCCCGUCAAUAGUAAGUUACCAGCAAAAUGUCUCGUUAACACCAGUCUGACAAUUCUAAGACAAGAUUGAACUGAAAUAUUGCUUUGGUUUCAUCUGAAAUUUUGAGUACCUAAAUGAACAUGUUUGCAAAAUUAUUAAAUAUGAAAAUGGA